AAUAUUUGUAAAUGGUGACAACCCUGAUACAGCCAUGCCGCGUGUGUGAAGAAGGUAAUAGAUAUGUAAAGCACUUUAAGUAGAGAGAAAGGGCUAUAGAUAAAUACCCUGAAAUUUUGACGAUACCAACAGAAUAAGCACUGGCUAACUCUGUGCAUGCAGCCGCGGUAAUACAGAGGAUGCAAGCGUUAAUCGGAAUUACUGGGCGUAAAGCGCGCGUAGGUGGUUCAGUAAGAUGGGUGUGAAAUCCCCGGGCUUAACCUGGGAACUGCUUUCAUAACUGCUGAGCUAGAGUACGGUAGAGGGUAGUGGAAUUUCCUGUGUAGCGGUGAAAUGCGUAGAUAUAGGAAGGAACACCAGUGGCGAAGGCGACUACCUGGACUGAUACUGACACUGAGGUGCGAAAGCGUGGGGAGCAAAC
rnacentral:rRNA from 1 species